rnacentral:rRNA from 1 species
UUGCCAGACUCCUACGGGAGGCAGCAGUGGGGAAUAUUGGGCAAUGGGCGCAAGCCUGACCCAGCAACGCCGCGUGAAGGAAGAAGGCUUUCGGGUUGUAAACUUCUUUUGACAGGGAAGAGCAGAAGACGGUACCUGUCGAAUAAGCCACGGCUAACUACGUGCCAGCAGCCGCGGUAAUACGUAGGUGGCAAGCGUUGUCCGGAUUUACUGGGUGUAAAGGGCGUGUAGCCGGGCUGACAAGUCAGAUGUGAAAUCCGGGGGCUCAACCCCGGGACUGCAUUUGGAACUGUAAGGCUAGAGUGUCGGAGAGGCAGGCGGAAUUCCUAGUGUAGCGGUGAAAUGCGUAGAUAUUAGGAGGAACACCAGUGGCGAAGGCGGCCUGCUGGACGAUGACUGACGUUGAGGCUCGAAAGCGUGGGGAGCAAACAGGAUUAGAUCCCCCCGUA